UAAAUGCGAUAAGUAAUGUGAAUUGCAGAAUUCAGUGAAUCAUCGAAUCUUUGAACGCACAUUGCGCCCGCCAGUAUUCUGGCGGGCAUGCCUGUUCGAGCGUCAUUUCAACCAUCAAGCCCCCGGCUUGUGUUGGGGACCUGCGGCUGCCCGCAGGCCCUGAAAAACAGUGGCGGGCUCGCUGUCACACCGAGCGUAGUAGCAUACAUUCUCGCUCAGGGCGUGCUGCGGGUUCCGGCCGUUAAACGACCUUCAUAACCCAAGGUUGACCUCGGAUCAGGUAGGAAGACCCGCUGAACUUAAGC
rnacentral:misc_RNA from 1 species